rnacentral:misc_RNA from 1 species
GAUGAAGAACGUAGCGAAAUGCGAUAAGUAAUGUGAAUUGCAGAAUUCAGUGAAUCAUCGAAUCUUUGAACGCACAUUGCGCCCAUUAGUAUUCUAGUGGGCAUGCCUGUUCGAGCGUCAUUAAGUCCACUUAAGCCCUGCUUAGUGUUGGGAGACUGCUCCAGCGGUGCUACCCUGUAGCUACCCUGCAGCUCCUCAAAGACAGCGGCGGAGUUGUGGUAUCCUCUGAGCUUAGUAACUUGUUCUAGCUUUCGANNNCACCACUUCCCCUGCCGUAAAACCCUUAAUUUUUAAUGGUUGACCUCGGAUCAGGUAGGAAUACCCGCUGAACUUAAGCAUAUCAAUAAGCGGAGGA